AACGAACGCUGGCGGCAUGCCUAACACAUGCAAGUCGAACGAGACCUUCGGGUCUAGUGGCGCACGGGUGCGUAACGCGUGGGAACCUGCACUUAGGUUCGGAAUAACUCCCCGAAAGGGGUGCUAAUACCGGAUAAUGUCUUCGGACCAAAGAUUUAUCGCCUUUGGAUGGGCCCGCGUUGGAUUAGCUAGUUGGUAGGGUAAAAGCCUACCAAGGCGACGAUGCAUAGCUGGUCUGAGAGGAGGAUCAGCCACACUGGGACUGAGACACGGCCCAGACUCCUACGGGAGGCAGCAGUGGGGAAUAUUGGACAAUGGGCGAAAGCCUGAUCCAGCAAUGCCGCGUGAGUGAUGAAGGCCUUAGGGUUGUAAAGCUCUUUUACCCGGGAUGAUAAUGACAGUACCGGGUGAAUAAGCUCCGGCUAACUCCGUG
rnacentral:rRNA from 1 species